UACGUAGGGGGCAAGCGUUGUCCGGAUUUAUUGGGCGUAAAGAGCGUGUAGGCGGCUAUACAGGUCCGCUGUGAAAACUCGAGGCUCAACCUCGAGACGUCGGUGGAAACCGUAUGGCUAGAGUCCGGAAGAGGAGAGUGGAAUCCCUGGUGUAGCGGUGAAAUGCGCAGAUAUCAGGAAGAACACCCGCGGCGAAGGCGGCUCUCUGGGACGGUACUGACGCUGAGACGCGAAAGCGUGGGGAGCGAACAGG
rnacentral:rRNA from 1 species